UUGUCAUGCCAAUGGCACUGCCCGGUAGCUAAAUGCGGAAGAGAUAAGUGCUGAAAGCAUCUAAGCACGAAACUUGCCCCGAGAUGAGUUCUCCCUGAGACUUAGAGUCUCCUGAAGGAACGUUGAAGACGACGACGUUGAUAGGCCGGGUGUGUAAGCGCAGCGAUGCGUUGAGCUAACCGGUACUAAUGAACCGUGAGGCUUAACCU
rnacentral:rRNA from 1 species